GGGAACCCUGACGGAGCAACGCCGCGUGCGGGAGGACGGCCUGUGGGUUGUAAACCGCUUUUCCCAGGGAAGAAGUUCUGACGGUACCUGAGGAAUCAGCAUCGGCUAACUCCGUGCCAGCAGCCGCGGUAAUACGGAGGAUGCAAGCGUUGUCCGGAAUUAUUGGGCGUAAAGCGUCCGUAGGCGGUGAGUUAAGUCUGCUGUCAAAGCCUGCAGCUCAACUGUGGAGUGGCAGUGGAAACUGAUUGACUAGAGUGCGAUAGGGGUAGAGGGAAUUCCCAGUGUAGCGGUGAAAUGCGUAGAUAUUGGGAAGAACACCAGUGGCGAAGGCGCUCUACUGGGUCGCAACUGACGCUGAGGGACGAAAGCUAGGGGAGCG
rnacentral:rRNA from 1 species